rnacentral:misc_RNA from 1 species
CAACCCUCAAGCUCAGCUUGGUAUUGGGUGUCACCUGGCAAUGGUGUACCUUAAAAUCAGCGGCGGUGCCAUCUGGCUUCAAGCGUAGUAAUUCUCUCGCUUUGGAGGUAUUUAGGUGUGUGCUUGCCAUCAACCCCCUAAUUUUUCAAA